rnacentral:lncRNA from 1 species
CUGUGUCUCUGUAGCCUCUCACUUCCUCUGGCAUUAUGCCUCCGCUGCGCGCCAUUCAACCCGGGAGCUCCCAGCAGGGGGAUUGAGCGGUUGAAGCAUAGGAAGCCGGGCAUGGGUUCGGGGCUCCACAUCCUAACGAGAAUGGGGCCCCCGAAGGUUCCCGAGCAGUCAGUACGGUGCAACAUAAGACCUAGUACGUCUGAAAUUACGAUUAACUACUUUACUACUAUGCUAUUAAUUACUAUAGUACUAUACGAUUAACUACUAAUACUACUAUACUACUUACCUCACAGGCUGUUACCC